AUGCUCUCUUCUCUCCCUAUCUCUUCCAUUCCUCUCGUUCUCACAAAGCACCGUUGAAAGCCCCCAAUGGUCUCCCAAAUAGACACCGCUCCGGCCACCGCCGUGGUGGCCACUCCUCUCCCCAAUAGGCAAAUACGACGAUGGGAAAAGCCCUAAAUAACCCCAACAAAGUAAACCCCGUCUAGUUUGUUCAUAAUCUCCCACUCCAACUCUCGAUCGAGGCAACCUAGGACACCCGAGGGCUCGCUCUUGUCGUAGAUCAACUACUUCCUCACCUCCGACCACCCUAACGGUGAUUGGGCUAGACCACAACCCCAAUACCAGAUCUGAAACACAACAUACGACCGAAAAAGACUCACGGCCCUUCACCUCAUCGACACCGGCUGUAGACCACUACUCCGAUAGGGAACUUAAACCACUAAGGGUGCUAACAACUCACCACAAACUCACCCAACUCCGGCGACAGUGUUUCUCUUUCAGCGACACUCGAACAGACCAAGAAAAUGGAGACCCAACCCCUUGUGUUCCCUUUUCGCCCGUUGCAGAGCAUGGGCACCAGCUCGGGCUUGGUGCUUCACGUGAGGACUGAAAACGGCAUUGGCAGGGUGUGGGCAACAUGACAUCUCGGGAGGCACCAGCUUCUGUUGGGAGUGGCACUUCAGUAUGUGGAGCAGACAUGAUGGAGCAUGCGUGCAUGAGCUGUUGCUCGGUUGGGGCACUUCACGUGGGAGGUGUCUCUAACUGGGUCAGAUUUGAGUCAAAACUGGGUCAAACUUGGGUUGUA